GGGACUAAUGGGAAUUACUGAGAAACUCACAGCUGUCCCCAAAUCCAUUUCCCCUCAUACUUUACUACAUAUCUGGUUGUGUUUCAAUUUUUAUUGUGUAAAACAAAUCAAAUAUACCUAGUACUGUGUUCUGGAUAUAGCAGGGAGAGGGAAGAGAAGGGAUAAAGGAAGUUGAGAGCUAGGAUGGGAAUGAGUGGCAAAGGUCUUGUGUAGGAAGCAGAGAGCUAAGAUUCUAGGGUCAGGCACUUCUUUCUGAAGUGAAGAGGGAGUUGCAUUGGAGUAAACUCUAUUACCAGAGAAAGUCUGGUGUGGUAGAAGAAUACAAGAUGUGGAUUCAGAAUCCAGCGUCAGUGCUUACUGUUUGGCCUUAAACCACUUACCUUCUCUGACCUUAAAUUCCUCAUCUUUAAGAUUAAGAGGUUUCUAAGGUCCCUAUUUAAGCACGAUGAGUAUGAAGGGACUCCAAGGAGUGCCCUCUGCAGAUUUUUCGCUCUAGCCCCAAAGUGGUUAUAUUCAUUUGUUCUCAUAGCUUGUAGCUAUUGUUGCCCAUUACUGUGUACCAUGCAGUGUAUUAGGCGAUUUACAUAAAAUUAACCUCAACAAUUCAGAAUGAUAACUAUUAUUAUUCCCAUUUUAUAGAUAAGAAAAUUGAAGCUUAUUAGAAAUUAAUUUACCCCAAAUUACAUAGCGAUCCAGGAUUUACACUAGGUCUGUCUUGUCCCAAAGUCUAUGCUUUUACCUGUUACCUACCUGCCAGUGGAGACUACGUAAAAGAAAAUGGUUAAAAGAAAAUAACUACCCUUUCUAAUCUGUUUUCUCCCGCUCGCACUCUGGAGAAUUUUCCUGCCCCUGCCCUCAAAGCCGCAGGAUAUCUUAUUGCUACUUUGGUCUGAAACUGCAGGUCUCUGAAUUGCCCAUAUGUGUAACAGUUUAGGUCUUCCGGUCAGCCGGAACCAGCCGCAACGCUGCUCUCGCUGUGUGGGGUGUACCUCUUCGGAGUUCCUGGAGGUGGUCCCAGACUGGAGUGGCGGCUGUAACAACCAAUAGGCAUGGACAUUGCUGGGCCGGAAGCCAAUGAGGAAUCUGGCGAUGGAGAAGCGGCGAUCAUUUAUUUGAAGAUGUAGGACGGGUCUGAAGGAAAAUGGGGCUGUGUCAGAGGUGGCGGCGGCUUCGGAUCCCAGGGUUACAAGCCUGCGGGCUGCACAUGGUGCGUGAGGCAGCUGUGCCGACCCCUCCACACUGGUUGGUAGAGCGGCUUGGCCUUUUUGAGCAGCUAUGGACUGCUCAGGUAAAGAGGUUAGCAAGCCUGGCACAGAAGGAACACCGGACUAUCAAGAUAUCACUUCCUGGAGGCCAGAAAGUGGAUGCUGUGGCAUGGAACACAACCCCUUACCAACUAGCCCAGCAGAUCAGUUCUAAACUGGCAGAUACUGCAGUGGUUGCUCAAGUGAAUGGAGAACCUUAUGAUCUGGAGCGGCCCUUAGAGACAGAUUCUGACCUCAGAUUUCUGACAUUCGAUUCUGCAGAGGGGAAAGCAGUAUUCUGGCACUCUAGUACCCAUGUCCUGGGGGCAGCAGCUGAACAACUUCUAGGUGCUGUUCUCUGUCAAGGUCCAAGCACAGGAUGUGGCUUUUACCAUGAUUUCUUCCUUGGAAAGGAACGUCUGUUUGUCUUUGCCAAUAAUUUUAGAUGUUUUUGGAAGGCAGGAUUUCAUCCCAUGACCAACACCCAGGUGAUGCUCCUUAGAGGAUGGAAGCCAACCAACCCUCAUCUUUCCAGGACAAUCAAGGGCUCAGAGCUGCCUGUUUUGGAACGGAUUUGUCAGGAACUUGCAGCUGCUGCUCAGCCCUUCCGGAGACUAGAGGCUUCCCAGGAUCAGCUUCGGCAGCUCUUCAAGGAUAACCCCUUUAAGCUUAACCUGAUCGAGGAGAAAGUGACAGGUCCAACGGCAACAGUAUAUGGGUGUGGUAUGUUGGUUGAUCUGUGCAGAGGCCCCCACCUUCGGCAUACUGGACAGAUUGGAGGCCUGAAGCUGCUAUCGAACUCAUCAUCCUUAUGGAGGUUUUCCGGCACCCCAGAGACACUGCAGAGAGUGUCAGGGAUUUCCUUCCCCACUGCAGAGGAGCUGAGGGCCUGGGAAGAGUGGAGGGAGGAAGCAGAGUUACGGGACCACCGGCGCAUUGGGAAGGAACAGGAGCUCUUCUUCUUCCAUGAACUGAGCCCCGGGAGCUGCUUCUUCCUGCCUCGAGGGACAAGGGUGUAUAAUGUACUCGUGGCUUUUAUCAGGGCCGAGUACACCCGCCGUGGUUUCUCAGAAGUGAAAACCCCCACGCUGUUUUCUACGAAACUCUGGGAACUGUCAGGGCACUGGGAGCAUUACCGGGAAGACAUGUUUGCCCUGCAGCCCCCAGGCUCUGACAGCCAUGCCGGCUCCCAGAGUGACCACUCUACCAGCCAUCCCACAGGCACGCUUGCCCUCAAGCCCAUGAACUGCCCUGCGCACUGCCUGAUGUUCGCCCACCGGCCCAGAUCCUGGCGAGAGCUGCCCCUGCGACUGGCCGACUUCGGGGCCUUGCACCGGGCCGAGGCCUCUGGCAGUCUGGGGGGACUGACCCGGCUACGGCGCUUCCAGCAAGAUGACGCUCACAUCUUCUGUGCACCCGAUCAGCUGGAAGCAGAGAUCCGAGGCUGUCUUGAUUUCCUCCGCUCUGUCUACACUGUCCUUGGGUUCUCCUUCCGCUUGGCACUGUCUACCCGGCCAUCUGGCUUCCUGGGAGAGCCGUGCCUUUGGGACCAGGCUGAGCAGGUCCUUCAACAGGCCCUAGAAGAAUUUGGAGAACCCUGGGACCUCAACCCUGGAGAUGGUGCCUUCUAUGGGCCUAAGAUUGACGUGCACCUCCGCGAUGCCCUGGGUCGGCCCCAUCAGUGUGGGACAAUCCAGCUUGACUUCCAACUGCCCCUGAGAUUUGACCUCCAGUACAAGGGGGCUGAAGAUUCUUGGAAACUGGAAGGUGAUCUUGGGUACACAUUGUGUGACACUUUUCCAUUCCAUCCAUUCCCCCCCCCUUUCCCUCCAAGGCAGGCGGGGGCCCUGGAGCGUCCAGUCCUCAUUCAUCGAGCAGUGCUAGGUUCUGUGGAAAGGAUGUUGGGAGUGCUGGCGGAAAGCUGCGGGGGAAAAUGGCCACUAUGGCUGUCACCAUUCCAGGUGGUGGUCAUACCUGUGGGGACUGAGCAAGAGGAAUAUGCCAGGGAGGCACAGCGGAGCCUGCAAGCUGCAGGACUGGUUGGCGACCUGGAUGCUGACUCCGGACUGACCCUCGGCCGGAGGAUCCGCCGGGCUCAGCUUGCCCACUACAAUUUUCAGUUCGGUUCAGAGCUCUGUCUUGAAGACAAGGAGUAGGAACGUCUCAGCCAGAUUACCUGGUUCUCUAGUUUUACACAUCCACUCAUCCUGCCAGCCUUGGAGCAAGCUGCCCAUGAUCCCUUGGACUUGCACUGGUUGGCCAGAAAGAGCAGAGUAAGAGAACAGUGAACAUUCGGACUCGAGAUAAUCGUCGACUUGGGGAAUGGGACUUGGCCGAGGCUGUACAGCGGCUACUGGAGCUACAGAA